rnacentral:rRNA from 1 species
GACGAACGCUGGCGGCGUGCUUAACACAUGCAAGUCGAACGGGGCUCAUCGCUUCGGUGGUGGGUCUAGUGGCGAACGGGUGAGUAACACGUGGGCAACCUGCCCCCGGCUCUGGGAUAACCCCAAGAAAUUGGGGCCAAUACCGGAUGUGACCGCUGGCCGCAUGGUCUGGUGGUGGAAAGGGUUUCCGGCUGGGGAUGGGCCCGCGGCCUAUCAGCUUGUUGGUGGGGUAGUGGCCUACCAAGGCGACGACGGGUAGCCGGCCUGAGAGGGUGACCGGCCACACUGGGACUGAGACACGGCCCAGACUCCUACGGGAGGCAGCAGUGGGGAAUAUUGCGCAAUGGGCGGAAGCCUGACGCAGCGACGCCGCGUGGGGGAUGACGGCCUUCGGGUUGUAAACCUCUUUCAGCAGGGACGAAGCCGCGAGGUGACGGUACCUGCAGAAGAAGCACCGGCCAACUACGUGCCAGCAGCCGCGGUAA